rnacentral:rRNA from 1 species
AUUGAACGCUGGCGGCAGGCCUAACACAUGCAAGUCGAGCGGAUGAAGGGAGCUUGCUCCUGGAUUCAGCGGCGGACGGGUGAGUAAUGCCUAGGAAUCUGCCUGGUAGUGGGGGAUAACGUCCGGAAACGGGCGCUAAUACCGCAUACGUCCUGAGGGAGAAAGUGGGGGAUCUUCGGACCUCACGCUAUCAGAUGAGCCUAGGUCGGAUUAGCUAGUUGGUGGGGUAAAGGCCUACCAAGGCGACGAUCCGUAACUGGUCUGAGAGGAUGAUCAGUCACACUGGAACUGAGACACGGUCCAGACUCCUACGGGAGGAAGCGGUGGGGAAUAUUGGACAAUGGGCGAAAGCCUGAUCCAGCCAUGCCGCGUGUGUGAGGAAGGUCUUCGGAUUGUAAAGCACUUUAAGUCGGGAGGAAGGGCAGUAAGUUAAUACCUUGCUGUUUUGACGUUACCAACAGAAUAAGCACCGGCUAACUUCGUG